UACGUAGGGUGCAAGCGUUAAUCGGAAUUACUGGGCGUAAAGCGUGCGCAGGCGGUUAUGUAAGACAGGUGUGAAAUCCCCGGGCUUAACCUGGGAAUGGCAUUUGUGACUGCAUGGCUAGAGUGUGUCAGAGGGGGGGUAGAAUUCCACGUGUAGCAGUGAAAUGCGUAGAGAUGUGGAGGAAUACCGAUGGCGAAGGCAGCCCCCUGGGAUAACACUGACGCUCAUGCACGAAAGCGUGGGGAGCAAACAGG
rnacentral:rRNA from 1 species